rnacentral:rRNA from 1 species
AUUGAACGCUGGCGGCAUGCCUUACACAUGCAAGUCGAACGGUAACGCGGGGGCAACCCUGGCGACGAGUGGCGAACGGGUGAGUAAUACAUCGGAACAUGUCCAGUAGCGGGGGAUAACCUGUCGAAAGAUAGGCUAAUACCGCAUACGCUCUACGGAUGAAAGCGGGGGACCGCAAGCCCUCGCACCAUUGGAGUGGCCGAUGUCGGAUUAGCUAGUUGGUGAGGUAAAAGCUCACCAAGGCGACGAUCCGUAGCUGGUCUGAGAGGCACGAUCAGCCACACUGGAACUGAGACACGGUCCAGACUCCUACGGGAGGCAGCAGUGGGGAAUUUUGGACAAUGGGCGCAAGCCUGAUCCAGCCAUGCCGCGUGAGUGAAGAAGGCCUUCGGGUUGUAAAGCUCUUUCGGUGAAGACGAAACGGUUCGCGUUAAUAGCGCGGACUAAUGACGGUACUCACAGAAGAAGCACCGGCUAACUACGUGCCAGCCGCCGCGGUAA